rnacentral:rRNA from 1 species
GAUGAACGCUGGCGGCGUGCCUAAUACAUGCCAGUCGAGCGAACGGACGAGAAGCUUGCUUCUCUGAUGUUAGCGGCGGACGGGUGAGUAACACGUGGAUAACCUACCUAUAAGACUGGGAUAACUUCGGGAAACCGUAGCUAAUACCGGAUAAUAUUUUGAACCGCAUGGUUCAAAAGUGAAAGACGGUCUUGCUGUCACUUAUAGAUGGAUCCGCGCUGCAUUAGCUAGUUGGUAAGGUAACGGCUUACCAAGGCAACGAUGCAUAGCCGACCUGAGAGGGUGAUCGGCCACACUGGAACUGAGACACGGUCCAGACUCCUACGGGAGGCAGCAGUAGGGAAUCUUCCGCAAUGGGCGAAAGCCUGACGGAGCAACGCCGCGUGAGUGAUGAAGGUCUUCGGAUCGUAAAACUCUGUUAUUAGGGAAGAACAUAUGUGUAAGUAACUGUGCACAUCUUGGCGGUACCUAAUCAGAAAGCCACGGCUAACUACGUG